UUUUAUUGGCCAUUCUGGACGCUUCAUUUCAAAGGGAAAGAUUUGAAUUCAGAGACAUCACGUUCGCUUUGUUCUCUUGCCCUCCAGCCUUUGGUGCCAGUGUGGACUGUACUACGGGGAGCGGGCGAGAUCAAACCCCCUCUCCUCAUCGCUCCUUGCCCCCAGAGCUGGCCCUUGGCGUGCUUAAUGAAAUCAGCUUUGCUAUAGAUUGACAAUGCCCUGUCAAUUAUAAUCAUUUAUCUUGGCAAGCAGAGCAUUGGAACACUUGAAAGAGCAGGGGUUCAGCAGGCCCUGCAAAACCAGAAUAAAAUUAUACUGCACGGUAAUCAGAGCGCGAGUAUAUUGCUCACAUAAAAUUUUACUUUAACUGUCAGAGGGGCCGAUAUGAUCUUACGUCUCAUUUUCUGCCUGUAGGGCGCUUGCAGUUCCAUUUGGGUCACUUUGCAGUGACUGGGAUGCAACAGGGGUUUUGCACAGUCUGGGUGCGUGGAGGAGGGGAGCUGCCCUGCGCACGGACAAGGGCUGGGGGCUCGUCAUUGCUUCUGCUGCGACACAGGAUGGUGAGCAGUGGCCGGAAGCCCAGAGCAGCGCUUGCUUUACAGACCAGUGAAGCCCACAUCACCUACGAGGAGGGUGCAAUCCCCGCCCCUUUUCCAGCGGGGAAACAAGGCACAGAGACGUCAUGAAGUUGCCAGACUUACACGGCUCAUCCUGGCAGAGCCGGGCUUUGCUCUUGCGGCCCCACUGUGCAUCGAAUUCCCAUCCAGGAGCUGCCUCUGGUGUGGGCAUCAGUGGCUCUGGACACAAAUGAGAGCUGAAGCCAGCAGGAGCAGCACACAGUGGGAGGCACCCUGG
rnacentral:lncRNA from 1 species